rnacentral:rRNA from 1 species
AGAGUUUGAUCAUGGCUCAGAUUGAACGCUGGCGGCAGGCCUAACACAUGCAAGUCGAACGGUAACAGGAAACAGCUUGCUGUUUCGCUGACGAGUGGCGGACGGGUGAGUAAUGUCUGGGAAACUGCCUGAUGGAGGGGGAUAACUACUGGAAACGGUAGCUAAUACCGCAUAACGUCGCAAGACCAAAGAGGGGAACCUUAGGGCCUCUUGCCAUCGGAUGUGCCCAGAUGGGAUUAGCUUGUUGGUGGGGUAACGGCUCACCAAGGCGACGAUCCCUAGCUGGUCUGAGAGGAUGACCAGCCACACUGGAACUGAGACACGGUCCAGACUCCUACGGGAGGCAGCAGUGGGGAAUAUUGCACAAUGGGCGCAAGCCUGAUGCAGCCAUGCCGCGUGUAUGAAGAAGGCCUUCGGGUUGUAAAAGUACUUUCAGCGGGGAGGAAGGGAGUAAAGUUAAUACCUUUGCUCAUUGACGUUACCCGCAGAAGAAGCACCGGCUAACUCCGUGCCAGCAGCCGCGGUAAUACGGAGGGUGCAAGCGUUAAUCGGAAUUACUGGGCGUAAGGCGCGCGAUUCAUUCAUUAAUUAAUUAAUGAAUGGAAUGUGGGCCGAAGCGUGGGGAGCAAACAGGAUUAGAUACCCUGGUAGUCCACGCCGUAAACGAUGUCGACUUGGAGGUUGUGCCCUUGAGGCGUGGCUUCCGGAGCUAACGCGUUAAGUCGACCGCCUGGGGAGUACGGCCGCAAGGUUAAAACUCAAAUGAAUUGACGGGGGCCCGCACAAGCGGUGGAGCAUGUGGUUUAAUUCGAUGCAACGCGAAGAACCUUACCUGGUCUUGACAUCCACGGAAGUUUUCAGAGAUGAGAAUGUGCCUUCGGGAACCGUGAGACAGGUGCUGCAUGGCUGUCGUCAGCUCGUGUUGUGAAAUGUUGGGUUAAGUCCCGCAACGAGCGCAACCCUUAUCCUUUGUUGCCAGCGGUCCGGCCGGGAACUCAAAGGAGACUGCCAGUGAUAAACUGGAGGAAGGUGGGGAUGACGUCAAGUCAUCAUGGCCCUUACGACCAGGGCUACACACGUGCUACAAUGGCGCAUACAAAGAGAAGCGACCUCGCGAGAGCAAGCGGACCUCAUAAAGUGCGUCGUAGUCCGGAUUGGAGUCUGCAACUCGACUCCAUGAAGUCGGAAUCGCUAGUAAUCGUAGAUCAGAAUGCUACGGUGAAUACGUUCCCGGGCCUUGUACACACCGCCCGUCACACCAUGGGAGUGGGUUGCAAAAGAAGUAAGUAGCUUAACCUUCGGGAGGGCGCUUACCACUUUGUGAUUCAUGACUGGGGUGAAGUCGUAACAAGGUAGCCGUAGGGGAACCUGCGGCUG